rnacentral:rRNA from 1 species
CCAGACUCCUACGGGAGGCAGCAGUGAGGAAUAUUGGUCAAUGGGCGAGAGCCUGAACCAGCCAAGUCGCGUGAGGGAGUACUGCCCUAUGGGUUGUAAACCUCUUUUGUCGGGGAGCAAAAGCCGGACGUGUCCGUCUGUGAGAGUACCCGAAGAAAAAGCAUCGGCUAACUCCGUGCCAGCAGCCGCGGUAAUACGGAGGAUGCGAGCGUUAUCCGGAUUUAUUGGGUUUAAAGGGGGUGCAGGCGGAUUUUUAAGUCAGGGGUCAAAGCGUGGGGCUCAACCCCGUCCAGCCGUUGAAACUGGGGAUCUAGAGUGUGCGAGAGGUAUGCGGAAUGCGUGGUGUAGCGGUGAAAUGCAUAGAUAUCACGCAGAACCCCGAUUGCGAAGGCAGCAUGCCGGCUUCCGACUGACGCUGAAGCACGAAAGCGUGGGGAUCGAACAGGAUUAGAUACCCGAGUACC